rnacentral:rRNA from 1 species
AGUAACGCGUAGGUAACCUGCCUUGUAGCGGGGGAUAACUAUUGGAAACGAUAGCUAAUACCGCAUAACAAUGGAUGACACAUGUCAUUUAUUUGAAAGGGGCAAUUGCUCCACUACAAGAUGGACCUGCGUUGUAUUAGCUAGUAGGUGAGGUAACGGCUCACCUAGGCGACGAUACAUAGCCGACCUGAGAGGGUGAUCGGCCACACUGGGACUGAGACACGGCCCAGACUCCUACGGGAGGCAGCAUG